rnacentral:rRNA from 1 species
GCCAUGCCGCGUGCAGGAUGACGGCCCUAUGGGUUGUAAACUGCUUUUAUACAGGAAGAAACCUUUCCACGUGUGGAAAGCUGACGGUACUGUAAGAAUAAGGACCGGCUAACUCCGUGCCAGCAGCCGCGGUAAUACGGAGGGUCCGAGCGUUAUCCGGAAUCAUUGGGUUUAAAGGGUCCGUAGGCGGGUCUAUAAGUCAGGGGUGAAAGUUUGUGGCUCAACCAUAAAAUUGCCCUUGAUACUGUAGGUCUUGAGUUAUAGUGAAGUUGCCGGAACAUGUGGUGUAGCGGUGAAAUGCAUAGAUAUCACAUAGAACACCAAUUGCGAAGGCAGGUGACUAACUAUAUACUGACGCUGAUGGACGAAAGCGUGGGGAGCGAACGGGAUUAGAUACCCCGGUAGUCCACGCCGUAAACGAUGGAUACUAGCUGUCGGGACUUCGGUCUCGGCGGCCAAGCGAAAGUGAUAAGUAUCCCACCUGGGGAGUACGUUCGCAAGAAUGAAACUCAAAGGAAUUGACGGGGGCCCGCACAAGCGGUGGAGCAUGUGGUUUAAUUCGAUGAUACGCGAGGAACCUUACCAGGGCUUAAAUGUACAUUGCAUAGCGUAGAGAUAUGCUUUUCUUCGGACUAUGUACAAGGUGCUGCAUGGUUGUCGUCAGCUCGUGCCGUGAGGUGUCAGGUUAAGUCCUAUAACGAGCGCAACCCCUACCGUUAGUUGCCAGCAUGUAAUGAUGGGGACUCUAACGGGACUGCCGGUGCAAACCGUGAGGAAGGUGGGGACGACGUCAAAUCAUCACGGCCCUUACGUCCUGGGCCACACACGUGCUACAAUGGCCGGUACAGAGGGAAGCCACCACGUAAGUGGGCGCGGAUCUAUAAAACCGGUCACAGUUCGGAUCGGGGUCUGCAACUCGACCCCGUGAAGCUGGAAUCGCUAGUAAUCGGAUAUCAGCCAUGAUCCGGUAAAUACGUUCCCGGGCCUUGUACACACCGCCCGUCAAGCCAUGGAAGCUGGGAGUGCCUGAAGUCCGUCACCGUAAGGAGCGGCCUAGGGCAAAAUCGGUAACUAGGGCUAAGUCGUAACAAGGUAGCCGUACCGGAAGGUGCGGCUGGAACACCUCCUUUCU